UUAUUUUACGCAAUUUGUAUGCACUACUGUAUUACAUGCAGUCAAAAAUAUAUGACAUAUAUUUCCAAACUGCGACUGCCCCCCCCCUCUGGAUCCGCCACUGGGGUGCAGGAGUACUAUACCAGAAGAGCACAAAAUAUAGACUUUUCCUGCUGUCGUCUCAAACGUACCUAGAAUAGCUAUCCUCGUUCUACUAUUAACUACAACUCAUAACUGCCUACUCAUUUGCAGGAGAUGGAUGCACCCUCCUUCAGAAGGCGCUGAAAGGAAUACUAAUUAUAGGCCGCUGUACUCCGUAAAAGAACUUAAGGAAGAGCACCCUAGUGAGAUAAGUGUAUGUCUGCCAUAUCAUCCGUUAAACAGCCAGAUUUUUGAAGGAAGAAAGAUCUAGCCCCAGCUCUGGACAAAAAUAUUAUGGAGAAGGUUGGCCGCUGUACAGGGCAGCUAUAGUUAUUAUUAUAUGUUGCCUUUUAUUGUUAUAUACUGUUUUUAUACUUUACCAAUAAACCUUAUAUUUAUCUAUA